GAACUCUGGUAUCACUUAGGUUAGAAAGGCGAGUACUCAGCCGCCACCAGCGCCACCUCAGCCUCACUACAACUAAAUUCGGGAGUUGGAAGCAAUGCGUGAAGGAAAACUUCUAUAACCAUGUCGUGUUGCCCGCGUCAUCUCCGCCACAGGUGUCUAAAGGGAUGCCACUCAAUGACCGAGAGGAAGACGUAACGAAAUGUAAAGGCGGCGGCUAAACUCUGCAAAAAUAAUGCCAGCAACUUUUCGUCACGACGCACCGCCGGAGGAGCGUCUCAGAAUUAAAAAGUUUAGGUAUUAAAGUUCAAAAGUGGUGACGGGCGGUAGUCCCUCGCGACUGAGAGAGAGAGAGAGAGAGAGAGAGAGAGAGAGAGAGAGAGAGAGAGAGAGAGAGAGAGAGAGAGAGAGAGAGUGUGUGUGUGUGUGUGUCUACCUGCUGUCCACUUUCCUCCUCGUUACAUUUCCAGUACAACACAUCCAACCCACACCCGCCCGCGAAAAAAAAACAAACUUCAAAAUAAGAAUCCAAUGGCUGUCACGUGUCCUGUCGGCCGGAAGUGCAUUACCAGUACACCUUAUAUUACACUCACUUUCUGCCUGUCCGUCUGUCUGUUAGGCGGAGUUUCUGGUACUCUCUCCCCCUCUCUCUCCCUUCCCCUCUAUCUCUCUACUAGCUUAACUUGAAGCUCCCCAAACAAGCGAGGCAGCGCUGGGCAAAGGAACACACAGGCAUCCAGCGUUACACAAGGCUGUGACAAUAACAUCCGCGAGCCUCGUGGGUGUACCUGAGGGAAGGGCGAGGCUCUGAGAGGCGAGGGGCGAGGAGGGACUACAUGCGGAUACAAUUGCAAAACUUCUAUUAAGGAUGUGCUGGUGUAGGAGAAGGGAAUCUGGUACUGUUGUGUGUACAUAUAAAGAAUGAAGAAUGAACAGUGUGUGUGUGUGUGUGUGUGUGUGUGUGUGUGUGUGUGUGUGUGUGUGUGUGUGUGGACUAUGCUGGAAGGGAAAGGCCUGCCCAGGGCUGUUGUUGUGUGCGCUGCUCCCUGUAGGCGUCCCUUCAAUGGCCAAGAGACUGCGGUGACCUUUCCUUGAAGAAUGAUUGGUGUACAGAAGGAAGUGGACGCUGGAGUGCACGUGACAGGCGGCAGCGCAGGGAAGGCUGCACAAACAGUACAUAACACAAUCUAUUCUUCCACAUAAGAGCUGUGUCAAGGUGUACUUACAUGGCGUAUACAAGUCGGAUAAUACAUAUCAGUAGUGUAUUAUUAUAUUAGAUUAGAUAAGCACCAGUAACACUUGUUAUGAAUGUUUCUAUUCAUAUCUACUGUAUAUAUACAUAUAGUUGCCCAAUGUUCCCUCAAAGAGAGAGAGAGAGAGAGAGAGAGAGAGAGAGAGAGAGAGAGAGAGAGAGAGAGAGAGAGAGAGAGAGAGAGAGAGAGAGAGAGAGAGAGAGAGAGAGAGAGAGAGAGAGAGAGAGAGAGAGAGAGAGAGUUGAAAAGGCAAAGGUGUACAUUUCAGUUAGAAAGAAUGGAAUGGAAAUACAACCACAUUUUUACAGCUCGUCACUGGGAUAAAGGAAUGAAUGUAAUAACAAGUAAAUAAGUAAAUAAUAUUACACGCUAUGCUAUUUUAAAAACAUUUUUGGUUGAAAUAUUUGCCUCACCUCCUAUGAAGCGGACUCACUAUAUUCUCUACAACAUCAUUUGCUUGUGACUCAUUCCUCUCCAGCAACAGUACAGUAAUUCUUCAGAAAGACAUGCAAAAUACAUUGUCACUUAAGUUUUGAAACGAAUGUCUCUCAUUAUCAUUUGGUGAUAUUUUUUUUUUUUUCUAAGGACAUUCAUCAAUAUUAACUUUUCUAUGAUUUUAAAGCUUCUGUUAAAUCUCCAUAGAUUCUAGUGAUAUACAGUAUGAUUUCGCUCAUGUCGUGAAAAUAUUUCAAUAACCGAUCGAUAUUGACGUAACCUUGCUGCAGGAAUAUCUAACCUGUAGGGGUUUUAAUGACGUAAUCGAUGCUACAUUCUGACGGUAACAUAAUACCAGGCGACUGCUACGAUUUGGGGCGAUGUGUUACACUCCAUCUGAGCGGCAUCGUUUCGGGGCUGGACAUUAUUCCCUGUCGACAAGUUGUUCCGGAGUUCAAAGCAUUUUUUCAUGAUGGACGCUGUCAGAGGUAGCACACGCCACGCACACACCGGCACACACCGUGAUAUACCACUGUGGCUGAGCUCACUGGUGUAGCACAACACACACACACACACAUACAUACACACACACACACUCACACAUGGGGUACAUUUACAGCUGAAUAGACAGAUGAUACAAACGCACACAAUGUAACUUUGCCUAUAGUGUUGCUUUUUGUUAUCAUUGAGGCUGCUACUAUCCACUACUACUACUACUACUACUACUACUACUACUACUACUACUACUGCUGCUACUACUGCUUAAACUGCUCCGUACGUACUAAUACUCCUGCUAUUACUUCCACUAUUACUGGAUUUAGCGGGGGUAGCGCUGCCAGGUCGCCAUCUACUUCAUUCUAUUCACGAAGCGUCGUAAAUUCUGGCGACACUUAUUGGAUUCCUAGGGUUGUCAGGACGUGCGGGGUUGUCACUCGUCCGUGGCGGGAAGUAAUCCAAUAUCGAAAAGAUUUGCCUUAAGGGGAAGCGUUACGAAGAUGGAGUAACCCCAAGCAUCUCAGAUUCAGUGCUGCAGGAGGAGGAGGAAGAGGAGGAGGAGGAGGAAGAGGAAGAGGAAGAGUAGGAGGAGGAGAAGAACCAUAACAACAACGAUAACGAAAAGGAAAGAUGACAUGCGUAAUAGAAGACACUCCCAAAACUGUAUAUAGGAUUAUGAAUAUAUGAGCAGCCUACAUAAGAUUGAAUACGAUUUCUUCCACGUCUUCUGAAGUGUUACCAAUAUUUUACUAUGACUUGAAACUCUUCCCUGCAUAUCCUCUUUUCAAAUUUGUUGUGGUGUACAGAGGUGUCUGGAUAUGCGGCGGUGGGAAGGCGUAGGGAAGAGACGGUUGAAGGAAGGAGGGACGAGAGGAGGGAAGGAGAGAGGGAGGGGCGGAGGCAAGUAAUAUAGUUACGAUGAGGUAGUGAUGUUACUAAACUAUACGUACAUCCACUGUCCUUAUAAACCCUUAAAAUUAUGCUAUGAUAACACUGUAAGUUUCAUCACAAACCAUCACGGCUUAAAAAAAUCACAUAUAAGGAUAAAACAAUACAGGAAAUGAAUGAUGAGGUGGCACCGUCUCACCGUCAGGGAGGUGUAUCUCUCCGCCAGCAGCAAACUUGACGUCACUACUUGGCGCGCGAAGGUCCAAUGUGGGACCGUUUGGUUACUGCUUGUAAUUUGAAAACACAACCUGUGAGCAGCAGCCAGGGCGUGCAGCGGCGUGCAGUGCGUGGGUAUGAUGACUGUGUGGCCUCUGAUGUGCAGGUGUGUGAGCUGCUGGACGAGAGAAGAGCAAACGAAAAGUAAACAUGGGAUUGCUGCCGCCUCAGGACACUAGGAGCAUCGCAGGAGCGCUGAGGAAGAUAAUACAACUCUUGGCGCAGCGAACACAACUCUGUACUGAGGCAGGCAGUGGCUUCUCCCAACACCUCACGUGGUCAUCACAACAAGAUCCCAUCCCGUCACUGGCACCAAAUAUCUUCCCGUCCCGCGCCCUGGAUCUCCCGUCGCUAGGCAAGAUCUCCGAUAAUUAGCUGGCAGACAGGGCAGCGGGGGCUGAGGAGAGCGAGAGGGAGACAGGCGGCACGGAGUACAAAACUGAUCUGGCACCAACAAGCAAUAGAGUAGCAUCCCCACGUGCGCCGGACACUUCACCGCCACCCAGCUGUCCCGGCCCGCCAACACACCACAACAGCCUUCCCUGCGACAGCCUCCAAAUUGCCCCCGGGAAGCAAAAGGAGGAAACGUCCAGAGAGUGUAUUUAUUUUACGGUAGGUUCAUAAAAUCGGAUUAAACAGUAACAUGGAUGUCUCUUUCACCUCCCGCUGUUGCCUUGCCUCUUCUGCUUCUAUUUUUAUCUUCUUCGUCUGCUUCUUUCUCUUCGUCGUUUUCGUCCUCCUCCUCCUCUUCCUCUUCUCCAUCUUUUCUUUGUUUCCUUCACCUCCUGCUGCUGCUGUUUCUC